rnacentral:rRNA from 1 species
AUUGAACGCUGGCGGCAUGCCUUACACAUGCAAGUCGAACGGUAACAGGCCGCAAGGUGCUGACGAGUGGCGAACGGGUGAGUAAUGCAUCGGAACGUGCCCAGUCGUGGGGGGAUAACGCAGCGAAAGCUGUGCUAAUACCGCAUACGAUCUAUGGAUGAAAGCGGGGGACCGUAAGGCCUCGCGCGAUUGGAGCGGCCGAUGUCAGAUUAGGUAGUUGGUGGGGUAAAGGCCCACCAAGCCAACGAUCUGUAGCUGGUCUGAGAGGACGACCAGCCACACUGGGACUGAGACACGGCCCAGACUCCUACGGGAGGCAGCAGUGGGGAAUUUUGGACAAUGGGCGCAAGCCUGAUCCAGCAAUGCCGCGUGCAGGAAGAAGGCCUUCGGGUUGUAAACUGCUUUUGUACGGAACGAAACGGUCUGGGUUAAUACCCUGGGCUAAUGACGGUACCGUAAGAAUAAGCACCGGCUAACUACGUGCCAGCAGCCGACGGUAAAG